rnacentral:rRNA from 1 species
UACGGGGGGGGCAAGCGUUGUUCGGAAUUACUGGGCGUAAAGGGCUCGUAGGCGGCCAACUAAGUCAGACGUGAAAUCCCUCGGCUUAACCGGGGAACUGCGUCUGAUACUGGAUGGCUUGAAUCCGGGAGAGGGAUGCGGAAUUCCAGGUGUAGCGGUGAAAUGCGCAGAUAUCAGGAGGAACACCGGUGGCGAAGGCGGGUCUCUGGGCCGUAACUGACGCUGAGGAGCGAAAGCGUGGGGAGCAAACAGG